GGAUCAAUACGUCGGUCGUGCCUUGGUACGUACUAACGUUAUUGAUUUCUCCCUUCUAACAAAUCGUGAUGUCAUUAAUUUGGUGUUACGGGGAGUUAGGACUGUUACUUUGAAAAAAUUAGAGUGUUUAAAGCAGGCAAUCGCUCGAAUACAUUAGCAUGGAAUAAUGAAAUAGGACGUUCGAACCUAUUUUGUUGGUUUCUAGGAUCGACGUA
rnacentral:rRNA from 1 species